rnacentral:rRNA from 1 species
CCCCUAGAUGUUCUGGGCUGCACGCGCGCUACACUGAUGCGUUCAACGAGUUUAUGACCUUGCCCGAUAGGGUUGGGUAAUCUUUUUAAAUCGCAUCGUGAUGGGGAUAGAUUAUUGCAAUUAUUAAUCUUCAACGAGGAAUUCCUAGUAAACGCAAAUCAUCAAUUUGCAUUGAUUACGUCCCUGCCCUUUGUACACACCGCCCGUCGCACCUACCGAUUGAAUGGUCCGGUGAAGCCUCGGGAUUGUGGCCAGUUCACUUUAUUGGGAGUUGGCUGCGAGAACUUGUCCAAACCUUAUCAUUUAGAGGAAGGUGAAGUCGUAACA